rnacentral:rRNA from 1 species
GGGUUGUGAGGUUAAGCGACUAAGCGUACACGGUGGAUGCCCUGGCAGUCAGAGGCGAUGAAGGGCGUGCUAAUCUGCGAUAAGCGCCGGUAAGGUGAUAUGAACCGUUAUAACCGGCGAUACCCGAAUGGGGAAACCCAGUGUGACUCGUCACACUAUCAUUAACUGAAUCCAUAGGUUAAUGAGGCGAACCGGGGGAACUGAAACAUCUAAGUACCCCGAGGAAAAGAAAUCAACCGAGAUUCCCCCAGUAGCGGCGAGCGAACGGGGAGGAGCCCAGAGCCUGAAUCAGCAUGUGUGUUAGUGGAAGCGUCUGGAAAGGCGCGCGAUACAGGGUGACAGCCCCGUACACAAAAGCGCAUGUGCUGUGAGCUCGAUGAGUAGGGCGGGACACGUGGUAUCCUGUCUGAAUAUGGGGGGACCAUCCUCCAAGGCUAAAUACUCCUGACUGACCGAUAGUGAACCAGUACCGUGAGGGAAAGGCGAAAAGAACCCCGGCGAGGGGAGUGAAAAAGAACCUGAAACCGUGUACGUACAAGCAGUGGGAGCCCCACCACCAAAGCAUUUGCUGUACCGCGUUGACGGAGCGAAGCGACGUCAAACCGAUAAAACAGCAGUGUAAAGUGAGCCGCAGGGCGCUUUGCGCGACAGCGCAAAGGCA